CAUGAAUCAACGUCAGUAUCAUCCACUGGAGGAGCUAGUCCAUCAGCUACUGUUGAUGUCAAUAAAGUAAAGAAAGUGAUCAAUGAUGUUCUUGUAUUUCAUUAUGCUGCUCUCAAUUCUCUUAAGACAUCUCUCUCAGAUCUUGCCAGUCAGUUAUAUGCAGCUCAUCUUAUUAGUGAUGAAGUCAGAGAGACUCGUAGCAUGGAAAAGUUUAUAACAGAGUUCAAGACUAGUCUUAGUUUUAUGAGGGAGGUGUCUCAAGUGGAGGAGCACUGUCAA